AUGAUGGAUAGGCCAACUACUUCUACCAACCCACUCUUCAUCGAGCAAGACGAGGACUCGGACACCUCUGUCACCAAGAACCACCUCUUCGUCGCACAAAGAGCAUUGCAUCAAGAACAACAAGCAUUGAGCGACCGCAUCGACAAUCUCGCCACCAACUUGCGACAUUCUGAGCAACGUACAAGAGACUACUUCUACAACAAGCUCGACGAACAAAAUCAAGAGAACAAUGCAAGAAUGGAUGAGAUUCGUGCCUUGUUGGUCAACCGCUCUUCUUCCACUUCAUCCUACUCACGACGGAGCCAUUCAAGUCAACAUUCUUCCGACACCAUCUCCGGCUCAAGUACACCGACAUCGAACACUCUUCGACGAGCCGCGCGACAAGACUGUCACGCAAGCCGCAAUCCUCUACAUGUCAAUGGUCCACAAGAGCAACUUGAAGAGCAAGAAUAUCGACAUCGUCAAAAUCAAGAUACAUUCGCGCAAGCACAAGAAAGGCAACGCCAACUGUCUAUAAGUCUAUGA
rnacentral:rRNA from 1 species